CAGGUGGUUCUUGAUGAGCUGAAGCUGCCAGUCAGACCAUGCAAACCCACUCCCACAGUCCAACCUGCACACAGGCCAGUGGAUCUGUUCCAGUGACCGCUCCACCAUAGUCUCGUUAACCAUCUGCAGAUGGUUAAACUUCUCUCACCAAUUUUUCAAAUUCAUCUGAACCAGAGGAGCAGUGAUGGAUGAGGAAAGCUUUGCUGUGAGAAAUAAGGAAAGCGGAUUUGGAUUCUCUCCUUUGAAAGGAAUGUGAUUUAUACCUAAAUUUUUCAACUGUCUUUUUCUCUCUGUGACAGUGCAAACAUUUCCUCAUUCCUGAGUUAUCAAAGGAGUACUGGUUUACCUUUGAGCUGUCCCACCUGGGUCAUGAAUAAGGUGGCGCCCUGUUCUCGUUGGUCCUUCCACACACCUGCGGCUGGUUGGCUCAUUACGGAGGACUAUUUGAGCGAUGGACUGUCACUACCUCAAUGCCAGAGUGUUUGCCAGUUUUGGGAAGCCUUCCUGCAAGCUGGAUGUUUGGCCUUCUUCCCCUGGAAGGAUUGUUUGAGUCUCACACUGAGCAGGGGAUUAACCUCCACAAGUUCCGUUCAAGUCCUCCUGGAUUUCCUAGUGACAGUCUGCUCAAUAGCUCCUCAGGUCUCUACCUCUAGAUAAACCUACACGUACUGGAUUCUGGGAAGAAAGUCUUCUC